CAUCAUGAACACUCCUGAUCUCAUCUGAUCUCAGAAGAAAAUAAUAAUAG
ensembl:rRNA 5S_rRNA 5S ribosomal RNA